CGCGCCGCCUCUCUGGUUUGUGCGCCCGUCGCAGGUCGCAGGCCUCUUUGUCAGCUGGAGUUGCGCGGGCUGACGCGCCACUAUGUAGCGGGUUUCGGGCGGGCCACGCGUGCGGGACAGGAACCCAACCCCAGCCGACCUUGAGCUCCAGGAGUUCGUCUCUUACGUCUGCGGAAGUGCAGCUGCCUCAGUUCUUAGCGCAGGUUGACAACUACAGGCACAAGCCAUUGAAGCUGGAAUGUCCUGUUGCUGGUAUUUCAAUUGACUUAAGCCAACUAUCCCUUCAGUUACAAUAGGAAAGUGCCUCUAAUAAGGCCAAAUAUGCGUACUAACUUGUAGCAACCACGUGUCCGUGCAGUGCCACAGGAGCUAGAGCAGUGACAAUGCUGGUGGCAACAGGGCAGUGUAGCAGGUGCUUCAUGUUCACCUUUUCAACCUUUUCAUUUAAUUGUCACAACUCGGAGGUGGAUUCUGUUAGGGACAGGCUGCCCCAGGACCACUCCGCCCCCGCUAACUCAAUGCAGCUGACCCUUACCCUGAAUACUCUGCAGCUGCAUUCCUGAACCGUUAUCUAGGCGCUAUAGCAAGGUCACCAGACUUGCUACACCGAAGCCCUCUGGGUGGCACGGGGGAGGUCAUGAGAAACGUGGAUUACACCCCCUUGUAAAUUCCUAUUUUCACAAGAUAAUAUAUUGUAAGCCGGUCAUGAGAUUAUAUGUGGUAAAGUUAAUUGACUAACAACCCCAGGGUCUCUCUCCCCCAUAUAAACCCCUCAUUUUGUAAGCUCAGGGCUGCCACCUCCGACUGGUGGAGAAGCCUGGCAGGUUAAUAAACUUACUUGGCCUGACCUUGGGUCUCUUGUCUUUUCUCUCGGCUAACCUUACAGAUUCUAUUCUCCCAUUUCACAGGUAAAGAAAUGGAUUAGUGAUAACUCAAGUUUCAUCACCUAUAUUAAUAUAAUUAGAUUAAGGAUCUCAGGAUGGGGAGAUUACCUUGGAUAAUCCUAGUGGGCCCUAAAUGCGAUCACAAGUUCCCUCAUGAGAGGGAGGCUGAGGGAUAUCCACACACAGCAGAUUGGAAGAUGCUGGCCUUGAAGAUCAGAGUGAGGCAGCCCCCAGGAGCUGGGAGAUGCCAAGGAACACAUUCCCCAUCAGAGCCUCCUGAGGAGCAUCAUUUGAUUUGGCUCAGUGAAACUGAUUUCUGACUUCUGGCCUUCAGAACUGAGAAUAAAUUGCUGUUUUAAGCCACCAAGUUAUAAUUUGUUACAGCAGCCUCUAAGAUCACAAAUAUAGCUGGGGCAAGAACCCCACCACCUCAGCCUUCCUCCCUUGUUUUUAUUAGUGCCGUGUGGGUGGUUGGGAGUAGAUCCUAUGUAUAUUCAUUAGUCCUUUUUAUUUUAUUUUAUUUUAUUGAGAGAGUCUCACUCUGUCGCCCAGGCUGGAGUGCAGUGGCGCGAUCUCGGCUCACUGCAAGCUCCGCCUCCUGGGUUCAUGCUGUUCUCCUGCCUCAGCCUCCCGAGAGCUGGGACUACAGGCGCCCGCCACCACGCCCGGCUACUUUUUUGUAUUUUUAGUAGAGACGGGUUUUCACCGUGUUAGCCAGGGUGGUUUCGAUCUCCUGACCUUGUGAUGCACCUGCCUCAGCCUCCCAAAGUGCUGGGAUUACAGGCAUGAGCCACCGCGCCCGGCCCAUUAGUCAUUUUUUAAAGGUAUAACCAUGAAUUUAAAAUGUAUUUAGACUUUAAUCUUGAGAUACAUGAGCAUGUGCAUGUGGCUAAAAUAUGUGGGGUCAGCACAUACCUCCUAAUAAAGCAUUGUGAAAAGUAAGGAAUCAAUUUAUGGUUUAUUGGAAAGUCACUUAUGCACACUUGUAUUUAUACAGCACAAGACACCACAUUUUAAAAAUUCAAUAACUGAAGCAAAUUAAGACAAUAGGAAAAGCAUUCUAAUUAUAAUUUUUGCCCUGCGGGCUGUACAGCUUCAGCCAGCAGUGUCCUGGAGGUAAUACAAACUGCUAAAGUGAGAUAAUGUUUUCAUAAACCUCAGUUUUGGUUUGUGUUUUAAGAAAUGUAAACUUGAAUCUCGGCAAGAGAAGGUUCUCAAAAUUUGGCACAAAGGGAGCAUCUGUCAGCCUAUUAGGUGUUUUUGGUGUAUGAAACAUGAGAUGUAAAAGAGGACUUAAAAGGACAUAAUAGUACUAGUGUCCUUUAAAAAUAUAUAUAUAUAUAUAUCAGCUAGGCACAGCCUGUAAUCCCAGCUCUUUGGGAGGCUGAGGCAUGGGGACCGCUUGAGGCCAGGAGUUCGAGACCAGCCUGAGCAACAAAGCAAGACCCCAUCUCUACAAAAAGCCAAAAACUUAGCUGGGCACAGUCAUCUAAUCUACUUGGGAGGCUGAGGAGGGAGGAUGGCUUGAGCCCACAAGUUCAAGGCUGCAGUGAGACAUGACUCACUGCUCUCCAGCCUGGGCAACAGCAAGACCCUGACUCCAGAAAAGUAGUAUGACUAAUGAAACCAGUCUUCCCAGGGUCAGCUACCACAAGGCUCUGACUUAAGUCCUUGCCACUAGGUUGCAAUAAUACUAAUUCUGAAUUACGGGAUACUACACUUAAACAGCACUAUACUAGAGACUGAGAAGGAAAUUGGGGCAAAGAACCUAAGUUUUUUAAUGAGAAGUUCAUAUUGAACUCAAAUUUAUUAUGUGAUGG
rnacentral:lncRNA from 1 species